rnacentral:rRNA from 1 species
UACGUAGGGUGCGAGCGUUAAUCGGAAUUACUGGGCGUAAAGCGUGCGCAGGCGGCUUCGCAAGUCAGGCGUGAAAUCCCCGGGCUUAACCUGGGAAUGGCGUCUGAAACUACGGAGCUGGAGUGUGGCAGAGGGAGGUGGAAUUCCACGUGUAGCAGUGAAAUGCGUAGAGAUGUGGAGGAACACCGAUGGCGAAGGCAGCCUCCUGGGCCAGCACUGACGCUCAUGCACGAAAGCGUGGGGAGCAAACAGG